CAUAAGUAGAGGGACCUCUCCUUCCCCAGUCAACUGCUCUUCCACUUGGCUUCUGGAACCUCCAGGAUUCCCACCAACCUCCAGCCAUGAAGAUCUUCUGCCUCCUCUCUCUUGCCGUCCUCUUCCUGAUGCUGCUGGCUCCAGCCCAAGCUUGUCAUCAGAGAUGUCGACGGCGAGGUGGGAGAAUGCAAGCAAGGUGCUAUCCACCCCAAAGGCAACUUUUUAGGUGUGGUGGCCAAGCCUGUUGCCGCCGUUAAGGCGUGUUUCUCUGCAGAUCUCCUGUGCAAGACCUCUGGUGAAAGGAAGACCUCCCUGCUCUCCUCUGAUGUGCAGCUAGCUGCCUUGAAUGCCCCCCCCCAUCUCUGCUGGGGAAGAAACCGCUUUGCUUGAUGCUGCUGAAGGCGGUUCUGGGAAGGAAUCAAGAGGGAGCCAUCCGGUCUGACUCCUUAGAAAGUGGGCUCAGGAUCGGAGCUUGGAUUUGGUUUGCCUGCAAAAGUGCUUUAGCUUUUUCUUUUUAAUAAAUGCAAGCAUUGGAAA